rnacentral:rRNA from 1 species
UGGGGAAUAUUGGACGAUGGGCGCAAGCCUGAUCCAGCAAUGCCGCGUGUGUGAAGAAGGCCUUCGGGUUGUAAAGCACUUUUAUCAGGAGCGAAAUACUACCGGCUAAUAUCCGGUGGGGCUGACGGUACCUGAGGAAUAAGCCCCGGCUAACUUCGUGCCAGCAGCCGCGGUAAGACGAAGGGGGCUAGCGUUGUUCGGAAUUACUGGGCGUAAAGCGCGUGUAGGCGGUUAUCCAAGUCAGGUGUGAAAGCCUUGAGCUCAACUCAAGAAAUGCACUUGGUACUGGGUGACUAGAGGACCGGAGAGGAUAGUGGAAUUCCCAGUGUAGUGGUGAAAUACGUAGAGAUUGGGAAGAACACCAGUGGCGAAGGCGGCUAUCUGGACGGUUUCUGACGCUAAGACGCGAAAGCGUGGGGAGCAAAC